CAGUAGCCGCGGUAAUACGAGGGGGGCAAGCGUUGUUCGGAAUUAUUGGGCGUAAAGGGCGCGUAGGCGGUUUGACAAGUUUCAUGUGAAAUCUAUGGGCUCAACCCAUAGUCUGCAUGGAAAACUGUCGGGCUUGAGUAUGGGAGAGGUGAGUGGAAUUUCCGGUGUAGCGGUGAAAUGUUCUGAUCCUCGGGGGACCACCGGUGGCGAAGGCGUUCGACGAGAACGGGCCUGACGGUGAGGGGCGAAGGCUAGGGGAGCAAACGGGAUUAGAGACCCCGGUAGUCCCUGUCUCUUAUAC
rnacentral:rRNA from 1 species